CCUACGGGGGGCAGCAGUGGGGAAUAUUGGGCAAUGGGCGCAAGCCUGACCCAGCAACGCCGCGUGAAGGAAGAAGGCUUUCGGGUUGUAAACUUCUUUUAUCAGGGACGAAGCAAGUGACGGUACCUGACGAAUAAGCCACGGCUAACUACGUGCCAGCCGCCGGGGUCAUACGUAGGUGGCAAGCGAUAAUCGGAUUUACUGGGUGGAAAGGGCGUGUAGGAGGGAGUGAAAGUCAGAUGUGAAAAAUAUGGGUUCAAACCAUAGACUGCAAAUGAAACUGUACUGCUUGAGUGCUGGAGAGGCAAUCGGAAGUCCGUGUGUAGCGGUGAAAUGCGUAGAUAUACGGAGGAACACCAGUGGCGAAGGCGGAUUGCUGGACAGAAACUGACGCUGAGGCGCGAAAGCGUGGGGAGCAAACAGGAUUAGAUACCCCAGUAGUC
rnacentral:rRNA from 1 species